rnacentral:rRNA from 1 species
GUCUACGGCCAUGCCACCCUGAACAAGCCUGAAGUCUGAUCUCGGAAGCUAAGCAGGGUCGGGCCUUGUUAGUACUUGGAUGGGAGAUCACCUCGGAAGACCAGGUGCUGUAGGCA